AAAUGGUUGAUACUGGUCGUUCGUACAGAAAAGAGGGAAAUACGCCUAGAUAUGUUGUAUGGGAGGGGUACUCCAAUUUACAAUCUUUUGAACUAAAGGUUUUGGACAAUUUGCGAGUUCAAUUUGAUCUCCAUCGUCGUUACCCUAGGAUGGUGCCGUUUUAUAAAAGUUGCAGAGCCAAAGUGGUAUACAAGAAUGAAAAAAGCAAGUAACAACCAAAUUGUGUAUGGAGAGAUGCAUGCGGAUGAGGAGAUUGAAUCAGAGCAAUGAAUGUGUGGAAUGAAUGAAGUUGGGACUGUACUUUUGCCUUUUGUCUGGUAAUUUUCUUUUGGGCUUUUCCAUGUUUGCAGCAUUGGAGCCUUACCACCCACUAUCGAUGCUACAAUGACACAGAGCUCCAUCCAGCAUUUGACUGAGAACAAGUUUGUGCAGGGCAACCCAAGUAUUCAAUGCCACAUGUAUGGUUUUGGUUUUGGUUUUGCUCUGAGUUUUGUACUAUUUGUCUAAUCUGGCAAAGGCAUGUAUUACCCCGUAAGAUCUCUUUAUGAUUGUUUUUGCCAAUGAUAUGGCCAAUUUGUAUAAGAAAUUCUAACUGCGUACAUGCAUUUCUUUCCAAAUCAUGCCUUUCUAUUUUCGGGUAGAAACUCUACUUGCUACAUUAUUACCAAUGUAAGACUAUGAGGAUUCUUUCUAUUUUUGGAGAAAGCAAACCAGGUAAAUACGAAUUGAGAACUCAUGAUAUUGAGCCACAAUUCGUGUAGUUUCAGGUGAGAUUUUCCUUUCAUUUUUGUUUGUUCUCUCUGGUAUUUGAAGACUUGAAACUACCCUAACAGACUAGUUGAAGUGCAAAAUUCCAUCGGAUCCCUAGAAAAGCUUUCUUAUUUGAGUUUUGAGGGAUGCUUCCACAAUAAUCACUUGGCUUUUUACUUUUUUUCGUUUACUUAUAGCCAUUAGUUUGUUUCUUGGAUUAUGAAUUCAAGUGUUGUGCAGCCCUAAAAAUUUUCUUCUAUAUCUUUAUUACAGCAAGUAUCUGCCAAAAGUCAGAAAACAUCUCUCCUUAUUCAAAAACUCCCAUUAAGCUAGAGGGCAAGUAUCUUUGUCGUAAUGUCUAUGUAUUUUGUGCUGUUUUAUAAUUCAUCAUCCAAAAUAGCCUCAUUUAUAAGUACUAACCCUUUGUAUUUUGUGUUUAUAUCAAUUUUUUACUGUAAAAGUAGUGCGCUUUAGACUUGUAGUCUUUGUAAAUUAGGCAUAGUUGUGAUGCCCUUGUGUUUUCGAAAAAUCGGAUUCCAUUGAUAAGAGUCCUUGAUGAUCUGUUUUCGAAAAUUGAUGAUGAUCCUACACAUACCAACUAUCUUUAUGAGUUAUUAGAAAUUGAAAUUGUUAAGAGUUCGGUUACUGUCCAGCUGAGUAGAAGAGAGGAGAUAAGUGGAAUUGUAUUGUAUGUUGUUCUGUUUUUUAAAGAACAUGGCAUGUCUAGGUGUGUUAUUUAUGAUGCUGAGAUAAC